UACGUAGGGGGCAAGCGUUGUUCGGAAUUAUUGGGCGUAAAGAGCGUGUAGGCGGUUUGGUAGGUCCGCUGUGAAAACUCGAGGCUCAACCUCGAGAUGCCGGUGGAAACCAUCAGACUAGAGUCCGGAAGAGGAGAGUGGAAUUCCUGGUGUAGCGGUGAAAUGCGUAGAGAUCGGAAAGAACACCAACGGCGAAAGCGCCCUGCUGGGCCGACACUGACACUGAGAGACGAAAGCGAGGGGAGCGAAUGGG
rnacentral:rRNA from 1 species